rnacentral:lncRNA from 1 species
GAGAGAGAGAGAGAGAGAGAGAGAGAGAGAGAGAGAGAGCGUAAGGAGAUGCCAUGUAGCUGCAAAAGGAGUAACAGGACAGGAGUCUGGGCAUUCUCCGGUGUGUAUUUGGGCUGGGGCGGGGGAGCUCAAGCAAGAAAGCAGCAAACAGCUGAGGUGAUGAUGAUCCUGUAUUUUAGAUUAAGGAAGGCGAGCCACUGGUCCUCAUUCUUCCUUUGAGUUUGAAAGUAGGACUCUGCUGUUGGGUCAUGGGACACCAUCAAGCAAUGCAUUGUCAGGUGUCUACAAGGACAAAACUAUUCUCUCUGCCCAUCCAAG